UGUUCUUUUCCUUGAUGUUGUAUAAAUGAGAAGUUGGGGCAGUGCUAUUUUAUUUGCAUGGCUUUGUUUCCUGAAAAAUGUGGACUUGAUAGGACUAGAGAGCUGCUUUGUGACGUGUCUGUGGCUUCGAAGCUAAAUAAUGGCAACUGAAAUGGAUAAAAAGCCAGAUUGUUAUCAUUGCCUAAGGCAAGAACCAUAGAUGAGAAGAGACCAACUACAGCUACAAAUUCUUCAGCCAAUUAUCUGAAUGAACGUGCUGCUUGCAGUCUUUCAACUGUACAGGUCCUGGGGAGAUCUUCACAACCGGCUUGGACGCAGCCCUGUGC